CGGGGCAGAAAAGUCUAUAGACCAAUCAAAAAUGGCGUUGUUUUGACAGAAAGGGAAGUUUAUAGGUUGUAAAUGAAGGUUAAAAAUCUACUUUAAUCGCCGUUUGGAGGCAAGAUAUCAAACUUAAAACUAAGAAAAUCAGAGUCAAGGGAAAACUGUGAAGCCGAAACGCCGUCAACCAGUCGUGAAAAUUGAUCCUGUCAGGCGAUCGCUGAAAGUUUUUUUUUUUUU